rnacentral:tRNA from 1 species
UGCGGGGUGGAGCAGUUUGGUAGCUCGUCGGGCUCAUAACCCGAAGGUCGUAGGUUCGAAUCCUACCCCCGCUA